GACGAACGCUGGCGGCGUGCUUAACACAUGCAAGUCGAACGGAAAGGCCCUGCUUUUGUGGGGUGCUCGCGUGGCGAACGGGUGAGUAACACGUGAGUAACCUUCCCUUGGCUUUGGGAUAACUUCAGGAAACUGGGGCUAAUACCGGAUAGGAGCUCCUGCUGCAUGGUGGGGGUUGGAAAGUUUCGGCGGUUGGGGAUGGACUCGCGGCUUAUCAGCUUGUUGGGGGGGUAGUGGCUUACCAAGGGUUUGACGGGUAGCCGGCCUGGGAGGGUGACCGGCCACAUUGGGACUGAGAUACGGCCCAGACUCCUACGGGAGGCAGCAGUGGGGAAUAUUGCACAAUGGGCGGAAGCCUGAUGCAGCAACGCCGCGUGCGGGAUGACGGCCUUCGGGUUGUAAACCGCUUUCGCCUGUGACGAAGCGUGAGUGACGGUAAUGGGUAAAGAAGCACCGGCUAACUACGUG
rnacentral:rRNA from 1 species